UACGGGGGGGGCAAGCGUUGUUCGGAAUUACUGGGCGUAAAGGGCUCGUAGGCGGCCAACUAAGUCAGACGUGAAAUCCCUCGGCUUAACCGGGGAACUGCGUCUGAUACUGGAUGGCUUGAGAUUGGGAGAGGGAUGCGGAAUUCCAGGUGUAGCGGUGAAAUGCGUAGAUAUCUGGAGGAACACCGGUGGCGAAGGCGGCGUUCUGGACUGUUUCUGACACUGAAAAACGAAAGCCAGGGGAGCAAACGGG
rnacentral:rRNA from 1 species